rnacentral:tRNA from 1 species
GGGUGCAUAGCUCAGUUGGUAGAGCAGCUGACUCUUAAUCAGCGGGUCCCAGGUUCGAGUCCUGGUGCACCCACCA